rnacentral:sRNA from 1 species
UGUGUCGAUCUGCUGGGGACAGAUGAAAUGUAUGUGCGCAUCGAUACCGCCUGCCGUGACAAUCAUACCUUCGCCGGCAAUCACUUCGGUUGAGGCGCCGAUAAUGAGAGAAGGAUCAACACCGUCCAUCGUGUCUGGAUUGCCUGCCUUGCCAAUGCCGACAAUGCGUCCGUCGCGUAUGCCGAUAUCGGCUUUCACGAUCCCCCAAUGAUCGAUGAUGACGGCAUUUGUGACGACUGUAUCCAAUACAGGUCCGGGUGUGCCUACGGCGCCUCGCGGCAUCUGUGCAUGCUGGCCCAUACCAUCUCG